UUCAUUCCAUUUCCAAUUCAUAAACCUUUUUCUCACUUGUUCUCCUUUACUCCGUGGUCACAACAAUUUCCAAUUCCCAUUUCGUUAUUCUUCGUGGAAGCUCGUUCAAGCGCGGCUCUCCCUAUAGAACUUUCUCUUUCUUGAAUUCGCACCUCGUCAGCAUCGCAAUUUCGUGCACUCUGACGCGAUCCGCGUUCAAUUUUCCCAAAAUCAGGCACGAUGAUGGCUGAGGAUCUCGGUGUGGAGGCGAAGGAGGCAGCAGUUCGCGAGGUCGCGAAGCUGUUGCCUCUGCCGGACCUGCUUCAGUCGAUCUCAUCCAUCAAGGCUGAUUACAUUUCGCGCCAACAGGCCAAUGAUGCACAACUUAGUACAAUGGUUGCUGAGCAGGUAUUCUUUUCUUCUUUCUUAAUUANCA